rnacentral:rRNA from 1 species
AGAUUGAACGCUGGCGGCAUGCCUAACACAUGCAAGUCGAACGGCAGCGCGGGUAGCAAUACCUGGCGGCGAGUGGCGGACGGGUGAGGAAUACAUAGGAAUCUACCCUGUCGUGGGGGAUAACGGUAGGGAAACUUACGCUAAUACCGCAUACGACCGAGAGGUGAAAGCGGCGGACCGCAAGGCGUCGCGCGACUGGAUGAGCCUAUGUCCGAUUAGCUAGGUUGGCGGGGUAAUGGCCCACAAGGCGACGAUCGGUAGCUGGUCUGAGAGGAUGAUCAGCCACACUGGAACUGACGACACGGUCCAGACUCCGUACGGGAGGCAGCAGGUAGGGAAUUAUGGACUAAGUGGGCGACAAGCCUUGGACU